CUCAGGAGAAGCCAUCAGAUCUUGUCCCAUAUUUGGUGUCUGCUUUUCCCGGCCCAUCAGGGAAGGACCAUGUGCCAACUUGGGGACCUGUCGUUCAUAAUGACUGUAUCAGUGCCUAAAAGAGCCGGGACCAUCUGGAUGUUUGACGCCAGGAACAUCUGGGCACAGGACCAGUGUGAGAGGGUUGGAAACGAGGUGGCAGCACCACGGCCUUCUCAGAGGAGAGAGCUGGCUGCAUCUCGAGGCUGCCGGACCCGUACUCAGGCUGGAGGUUUCAUCUGUGCCUUUUGGGGAAGCUGUUAUUUCUCAGGAAACCAGGUCUCGCUGCGAACGGCUCCUCAGAGCUAUCCGCAACAGAAAUACUAACAAUAAAAGUUACAAACCUCCGCCUGUUGAGCGCUUAUGCAUCAGUCUCUGUGUUUUCCAUAUGUUAUUUCACGAAUGAGCCUGUGA